GAGGUAGAAAUAUCUCGUUAAAGGUGGCGACUACAACUUUACGAAAGGACGUGGUGCUUAUGUAUGUAGGUAUCGAAAUCUGGAAGAAAGGAGUAGCUAAUGUCUAUAUAUGAGGCGUUGCAACUAAUGAUAGCAUUCGCAGCACUUGUUGUUGGAAUCU
rnacentral:sRNA from 1 species